rnacentral:rRNA from 1 species
UACGUAUGGAGCAAGCGUUAUCCGGAUUUACUGGGUGUAAAGGGAGCGCAGGCGGCUUUGCAAGUCUGAUGUGAAAGGCCGGGGCUCAACCCCGGGACUGCAUUGGAAACUGUAAAGCUAGAGUGCCGGAGAGGUAAGCGGAAUUCCUAGUGUAGCGGUGAAAUGCGUAGAUAUUAGGAGGAACACCAGUGGCGAAGGCGGCUUACUGGACGGCAACUGACGCUGAGGCUCGAAAGCGUGGGAAGCAAACAGG